CGCGUAGGCGGUUCGCUAAGUUGAAUGUGAAAACUCUGGGCUUAACCCAGAGCCUGCAUCCAAAACUGGCGAACUGGAGUACUGGAGGGGAAAGCAGAAUUCCUGGUGUAGCGGUGAAAUGCGUAGAUAUCAGGAGGAACACCGGUGGCGAAGGCGGCUUUCUGGACAGUAACUGACGCUGAGGCGCGAAAGCCGGGGGAGCAAACA
rnacentral:rRNA from 1 species